rnacentral:rRNA from 1 species
GACGAACGCUGGCGGCGUGCUUAACACAUGCAAGUCGAACGGAAAGGCCCCUUUGGGGGUCCUCGAGUGGCGAACGGGUGAGUAACACGUGAGUAACCUGCCCUUGACUUCGGGAUAACUUCAGGAAACUGGGGCUAAUACCGGAUAGGAAUCCUUGCUGCAUGGUGGGGGUUGGAAAGCUUCGGCGGUUUUGGAUGGACUCGCGGCUUAUCAGCUUGUUGGUGGGGUAGUGGCUUACCAAGGCUUUGACGGGUAGCCGGCCUGAGAGGGCGACCGGCCACAUUGGGACUGAGAUACGGCCCAGACUCCUACGGGAGGCAGCAGUGGGGAAUCUUGCACAAUGGGCGGAAGCCUGAUGCAGCAACGCCGCGUGCGGGAUGACGGCCUUCGGGUUGUAAACCGCUUUCAGCAGGGGCGAAGCUUGUGGUGACGGUACCUGCAGAAGAAGCACCGGCUAACUACGUG